GCAGCUGCAGCAGCAGCAGCCGCAGCUGCAGCAGCUGCAGCAGCAGAGGGGACCAAGCGCUGGUCAGUGCUAAUGUAAACUUUAAAAGACCGCUCAAACCGUACUGGUCCACACGGCUGGUUUGGGUACAAAAAAAUGAUAUAGAUAUAUUUGUAUUUUUUUUUUUUUAUAGCUUAGUUCAGCAUAUUUUGAGAAUAAAGGUAGCUGUUGUAAAAUGAUUUAGUUUGAAAUCCACCGUGUUUGCUGUUGAGGCCAAGGGCUAGUUGGCGUCAGGUUGACUGGCUUGUGUUGCAGCUGUAAUAUCACUGUCUGGGUAAUGCAGGCUAAACUAAAUAGACAGGAAAUAUCUCCUCCUCAGAUGAGAGUCCAGAGGAGGAGGAGGAGGAUGGUGGAGAAAUUGUGAUUGACGGCUCUGAUGACAGUGAGCAGGAGGACGACGAGGCCUGAGAAGACGUGAUGAAGAGGUUUAUGUCAAUGAAGAAGGCAAGUCAUCAAGGGACCAGAGACCAGGAAGAUGAAGAGGAUGCUGAGGUUGAUGAACAGUACCAGAGCAAUGUCAUUUUUAUGCACAGAAUAUCCGUUUUUGUUGUUUUUAUACCUAAAAUACAUAGCAGCAUUUUAAAUCAGGGUUAACUGUAAUAAUAAAGCCACGGCAGCAUGGUUUCCCCUCUAUUUUAUACAGUCACCAUCAUAAUGUUUUUUUCUAAACAGGUUCUUAGGCAUAUUAUGCCAAUAGUGUUCUUCUAUUUAACAAGGAGCAUCAUGCAACAGCCUGCACAUACAUAGGCGACAUCUUGAUUGCCACUUCUUGUCGGCAUUACAUUUUGCAUUUGCAAAAUCUUCAAGCGAGCGAUGCGGAAGCCUCCAGUGGCGUUGUUUAGUGGUCAUUUCAAGGCAAAGUUUUGGCUGUUUUUAGAAUUGACGUGACGAGCUAAAUUGAUACUAAUGGCAGUACUUUUUAGAUGCACCGAGUACUGAACCAAAAUUUGUUCUCAGGGAUGAUCAUGAUUUUAUUGAAAGAACCGUAACUGAUUUUAGACAUUUACACUCUCUGGGUAUUGUUGGCUGUGCAUAAGGAAACGUGUACUCUACUGUAGUAAAUAGGAACCAAUAUUGUUUUUAGUAUGCUGCCAGUGUUUCUCCUUCAUCUCUAUGUUCAGUCGUGUUUCACACCAAACCUCCACCCCCUGUUAACAACCUGUAAACCAUCGAUGAAGUUUAAAAUCAUGAUGUAGUUUGACCAGUGUUUCUGUGGUUUCCUACAUUUUGUAACACUCCUACAAUAAAUAGCUGACUUUUGUAUCAUUGUUUUCCUCUUUAGAAUUUAACUUAAUUUGAGUUUCCUUCUUAAAACCUUUAAGAUUUGUUUUCAUGUAAUGUGUUUUACGAUUUGUGUUAUCUUCUUUUUAAAAAGAUGGUAUUUAUUACGUUGUUUUUCUACACAUCCACAUUAUGGCAUGCCUGUGAGCAUGAAAUGUAAGACCAUACGAUUACAUUACUUACAAGGCUUUUAAUGUGCACAGUGUCAGUAAAUGUCUAAUUCACAGCAACAUUAUGGGGUGCACUGUAAAAAAAAAAACUAGUAUUUGUAUUUGCUUACUUUUCUUAGCAAUGACCUGUAAAUAAUAUUUCAGCAUUGUCUUUUGGAUAAGACGAGUACACGUGUUUAAUCCAUGGAUAAACUUAUCAAAUAAUCUGAAGUUUUUUCAUAAACAUGAUCAGAAAGUUAUAUUUUGUGUGCUGUGUUUUAUAGAACACUAGUUUAAAUAUACCUACCUGAUUGUUGCUUUGGUUUAUUUUGUUUGCUUGAAGAUAAAUGUCCACCUUUUGACUCAGACCUAAUAAAAUAGGCAGUUGUUUCA